UUGAGGAGGAAGGCAAAUGCGCAGCAUUUUUUUAAUGCCUUCCGAUGACAUGCCGCCGAACCGUCGGUGAGGGGGCGCUACAUUAU
rnacentral:sRNA from 1 species